AACGAAACCAGCGAAUUUUAUUUCUUUCUCCACCAGCCGCGUUUUCUGUCGUUUUCGUUGCGAAUCAAAGAUGGCUUCAACCAGAGACAAAGAAAGACUGGCUUCAACUGAAAUGUUGAGAGAGUUUGUAAAGAAAUAUCCGAUUUUAUACGAUUUAAGUCAUGAAGAUUACAAAAAUAUAAGAAAGAAAGAUAAGUUAUGAGAUGAAAUUGGGCAGGAGAUCCAUAUUACAGUGCUCGAAACAGGCCUUUUAAAGUGGAAACUGACUGGACUCAAAAUACGCUUCAGCCCGGUUACAGGUACAAAUCAAUAUUUAUCAUGGGCCAAAAUAACAUGUGCCUAAAAAUCACAGAUACUUGGAACAGGUACGAGCCUGGAACAGUCACAUAUGGAACCUGUGCCUGAAAAAUACUGGUUUGUGUCAUCCCUAGUCACAAUGCUAAAGGCAUUCUUGACCACUCUUCUACGUUCUCGACCACUCUUCUACGUCUGACUGUUCUGUGGAUUGUUUUAUGAUGCAAAUAAAUACAAGGUAGGAUCUUAGUUAAUCUAUGGGUAGGAUAUUGCGUCGAUUAGCCUCCCUGGUGACUAAAAUUAUAAAUACAUGUGAAGUAUUAAUUU